rnacentral:rRNA from 1 species
AGGGGGUGCUAGCGUUAUUCGGAAUUACUGGGCGUAAAGGGUGCGUAGACGGCUUGCUAAGUCUGUCGUUAAAUUCUUCGGGCUUAACCGAAGGUCAGCGGUGGAAACUAGUAGGCUAGAGGGUGAGAGAGAGAAGUGGAAUUCCCGGAGUAGCGGUAAAAUGCGUAGAUCUCGGGAGGAACACCAAUGGCGAAGGCAGCUUCUUGGCUCAUUCCUGACGUUGAGGCACGAAAGCGUGGGGAGCAAACAGGAUUAGAUACCCUGGUAGUCCACGCCGUAAACGAUAAUCACUAGACGUUAGUUCAGCUUUGCUGAAUUAGUGUCGUAGCUAACGCGUUAAGUGAUUCGCCUGGGGAGUACGGUCGCAAAGAUUAA